CACAACAUUGCAUUCCUAGAGCCUGUUCAAUUUACAGCUGUUUCAGUAAAACAAACCUACACCAAUCAUAAUGCGUGUUACUUUCACACUUGUUGUAAGCCUGUUGUUGAUUGGUCUGGUUGUAUCCAGUACUGUUGAUAAUAUUGCCACCAGAGAAGCGAAUGGAGAAAAUACUGCAAGCCAGGAAGAGCGUGGUCUGCUAGACUGCUUCAAGAUAACUGACCCUGCUGCUCAACAGGCGUGUAUAUGUGCAGAGACCGGCAAUGGUUGUGCGUUCUAGUCGUUACAAAGACCUCGAUGUAGAACAUUGACAACAUAAUUUUAUCGAUUAUCAGCCGAUAUACAUUGUAGUUUAUACUAAUGUAGAAUUAAAAGUGUAUCCAAGUUUCUUUCACAACAAAA